UUAUUUGUACUUCUUGUUUUUCAGCUCUCAGACUGAACCAGUUUAUAAAUUUGUAAACGUCCUAAGUAAGUAAAAUGAAGCAACCAUAUCUGUGGUUUUCUGACUUUCCAAAACUAGUUUAUGACGAAGAUUUACUUCAUACAACCUUUUCUGUUUUCAGAAUGGAUUUUCCACUAUCUAACAAAAAGAAAAGAGAGAAAAGAAAGGUCCUUUUAUCUACUAAUGGAGGGCUAUUCUCCUCCAUUUUAUUGCUGCCUUGAGGUAUUGCAGAAGAUUAAUCAUUUUUCUGUUGAAGAGUCAGCAUAAAUUCAAGAAUUUAAUAAUGCAAACCAUAAAACCUCUUUUUAAUGAUCUAAUCACUGUUUUUUUCUAUGAAAAUCUGUGAAUAAAUUAUAAUAAAAGUUAAGUAUCCUUGCCUUGUAUUAACCACCUUUGCAGACGGUACCCUUGAAGCAGGAGAAGGUCUGAAAUAGUCCCCACAUUUGGUGGACACAGAUCAAUUUAUGGGACGAGAAGAAUGCCUGUCCUGGGGCCCUGCUUACUGGAACUCCCCUACUAGAAAACUCUGAAGAUCACAGCAGGAAAGGGCCCAGCAUGAUCACUGCCCAGACUGGUUAUGUCUGCACCGCAGAGAUGUAGUCUUCGAGACACUGAAGUCCCACAAUAGUAUGCAGAUGAAAGAAGCUGAGUGCUUUGUGAUUACUGUCACCUUCAGCAGAAUGUGAGUGCUGACUCAGUGGGAAGCCUUGAACAAUUCCAAGUGUCCAAGUUGACAUCAUUACCAAGUACUGGUAAGUGCUACAGAGAAUCCAUGGCAAAACCCUGUAUUUUACUGUUCAUAUGCUUCAAAAUCUCUUGAUUAAAAGGUUGACUGCGAGAGAGUGUUUUUAUAUUGAAAAAAAUGGAUUUUAGUCACUGAUUUUACUGGACUGACUUGCAAACUUAAUUUCAGUCUUUAUAAAGCUCUGUCUGGCGUAUUUGAAAACAUUGUUACGCUAGAAUUUUGUGUGUUAUAAUGCAUCCUUGUGCAGCACACAAUAGUGGGGUGGUUGCAGUACUUCAAUACACACACAGCAAUAUUGGCUGUGUGCCGGACUCACACAAGGUGAGCCCAAGUAAAGGGCAUUUCAUUUGAGGACAGAGCAGGAUUGAAAGCAGGAAAACCAUCUGUUAAAAAUCCAUCUCUCUGUUGUGAAGUGCCAUGAGCCUCUGCUGCUCUUUUGAAGCUCUGACUUCAAUGGGAGUGAAACUGAACAGGGCCCAGGCUAACACAGUGCUGUUUAUUUAUGUGGUGUAAUGUAAGUAAACAGAGCAAAAGUAAUUUGGUGUUUUAUCACAGCGUGUGAUAAGCCAUUAUCUCAUGUUUUCUAUGGAAGAUAGUCUCAGCUGAAAAAGUUGGUAACACAGUAGGCUAUUAAUAGGAUGUGUGAUGUGAUUACUUUUUUGGAUUACUGCAAUAUGUGAUUACUUUUAGGGGUUGGUAGAAAGAAACUCUAUUAAAUGAUAAUUAUAGGACUGUAUUCACUUUAAAGUUCUGUAAUAGUCCCAAACAUUGGAGUUUUCAUUAACUGUUCUCCACAGUUAAUAAAGCCAUUUUUCUCUGAAACUAGUAAUUCACUCUGAAAGUGAUGGCAUGGCAUGUAGCUGCUCAGAUUUAUAAAUGAAAAAAGAAACUUUAAAUGAUCAUGUAAAUUAUUUGACUUGCAAAUAGUAACACACUCUCUCUGAAAAGUUCCUUAUAUGGAAGUACAUAGAAUUUUAACUCUAUCAUAUCUUAUAUUUAAAAAAAAAAAAACAGAAUUCAGAAAUAGUUCAAUUAACAACAUGUAUUCAGUAAAGAUUAUAUAAAAAUGAUGAAAAGACUGCUUGCAAAUGGAUGGAUUGCUUUACACUAUUUAUUUCCUAGUUACAAAAUUAUACAGGAAGAUUCGGUCUUAAAUAUCAUCUAGUUUACAUAACCUUUUGCACAACUGUCAGCCUCUGCAUUCAACAUACAUUACUAUUUCCACUGCAAAACAUUUUUAUCCGGACUAACUUUUUCAUUAAAAUAAUAAAAUUAAUUUGCUGCGUGUGGAAAUGAAGGAUUAACGGAGUUGUCUGAAGUACGACCAAAAUAUCGUUUGCCUGCAGCUGUAUCAGAGCAUCUCAAUUCUGACCCAUGCAUUCUCUCUUAGAUUAAAUACUCUAAAACACUUUCAGUUUGAUGUGAUGACCAUAAAUUAUCUCUUAGGGAGAAAUUUGGCCUCAGGGUGUCAAGUAAAUAAUUCAUUUUUAUUUACUUCUCUAAAAAUACAUUCAUCAAUUUUUCAAAAAUUGUGUUUUACUACAUUAAAGAGAAUAAAUAUAUCCUCUCCACUGGAUCCUUUAUGAAUUACUUAUGUAUGUACAAGUGUCAAGCACCAGGCAACAAUACUACUUUGAUCCUUCAAGAAUUAUGGAGUUUUUGCUUUGGAACUCCAAUGACAACUACCCUCACUUCAGGUUUUUAUAGAGGUAGAAAGCAUGCCAGAACAAAACACUUGGGAGAAAAAAAGUUGUUGCCAGUGAUGUUGACUUUUGUAUUUCUGGCAAUCUAGACUGAAUCCUUUGGAUUCAUUAUUUAAGCCAGUUCAACUGAGUACUACAUUUCAGAAGAGUUGAGUUUCCCUCGAACAUUAAAGUUUGCUAAUUAAACUGAUUUCUUAGAAAGUGAAACUGUAUUUUUUUUCCCAUACAGGAAAAAAGCAAAUGAACAUUGAACAUGAAUGUCAUACUGAUUACCAUUAAGUAAAUAUAAUAAAUAUUUAUAAUGGCUGAAUUUGUAUUUUCCUUUUCUCCUUCCCUUUUUUUUUUUCCCUUUUGGUCUCUGGCUUCCUCAGCCUUUGGCAAGUCAGGUUCACUGAUGUUACCAUGUUAGAAGAUCAAAUAAAUUCUGGCUUUCAUCUAUGCCUUUUUUUUCCCCUGUACAAAUUUCUUACCUUUUAUUGUACUCAUCGUGACUGCACUACUUCAUUGUAAGAAUACCUCAUUAACAGAAAAUUGGCAAAGGGAUCAUGAUACCCAUAUGCUGAGAUGCACUCACUCUGAACUUCCAUUCCAAGGCAAUAGUUUUCUACAAUAAAUUAGUGUGGUACUGACUUUAUUCCAUUAGACCCCAGUCCGCAUUCUCUUGUGGCCCAAAAACUAGCAAGCAGAGUUAGAUGAACAAAUAAAUACAAGCAAUGUAAUGGAGGAUAUAUUCCUCCACUAAUUCUAGCUUACCAAGUAGUUUUGUUUAAAUCAAAGAGACCUGCCAUUCACAUUUAGAGAACAAUUUUGUCAAUGCUUUUUACCCUCUUCCUGGGAAAUGAAGAGGCUGUGGAUUUACAUGAAGGGCAUUAUUAUGUAAUUUAAAAAAUGUAUUCAGGAAAAUGAAAGUGACUUAAGCGUUGCAUUAUUCCAAGAACAUCCCCAUAUUUGAGCUGUAUUUCUUCUUCCUCCUACUCUAAAUCUCUAGAAAAUAGGCACUCUGUCAAAAUUAAUAAAAAUGCUGUUGCAUGACAUUAAGUUGGCCAUUAGUUUUCCUUUGGACAUUAUUAUAAAGGAAACCUGCAUACAAACCU